CCUUACACAUGCAAGUCGAACGGUAACAGGUCUUCGGAUGCUGACGAGUGGCGAACGGGUGAGUAAUACAUCGGAACGUGCCCGAGAGUGGGGGAUAACGAAGCGAAAGCUUUGCUAAUACCGCAUACGAUCUCAGGAUGAAAGCAGGGGGCCGCAAGGCCUUGCGCUCACGGAGCGGCCGAUGGCAGAUUAGGUAGUUGGUGGGAUAAAAGCUUACCAAGCCGACGAUCUGUAGCUGGUCUGAGAGGACGACCAGCCACACUGGGACUGAGACACGGCCCAGACUCCUACGGGAGGCAGCAGUGGGGAAUUUUGGACAAUGGGCGCAAGCCUGAUCCAGCCAUGCCGCGUGCAGGAUGAAGGCCUUCGGGUUGUAAACUGCUUUUGUACGGAACGAAAAGACUCCUUCUAAUAAAGGGGGUCCAUGACGGUACCGUAAGAAUAAGCACCGGCUAACUACGUGCCAGCAGCCGCGGUAAUACGUAGGGUGCGAGCGUUAAUCGGAAUUACUGGGCGUAAAGCGUGCGCAGGUGGUGAUGUAAGACAGAUGUGAAAUCCCCGGGCUCAACCUGGGAACUGCAUUUGUGACUGCAUCGCUGGAGUGCGGCAGAGGGGGAUGGAAUUCCGCGUGUAGCAGUGAAAUGCGUAGAUAUGCGGAGGAACACCGAUGGCGAAGGCAAUCCCCUGGGCCUGCACUGACGCUCAUGCACGAAA
rnacentral:rRNA from 1 species